GCCCAGAUGGCGGAAUUGGUAGACGCGCUAGCUUCAGGUGCUAGUUUCUGUAUGGAAGUGGAGGUUCGAGUCCUCUUCUGGGCACCA
rnacentral:tRNA from 2 species